AUUGAACGCUGGCGGCAGGCCUAACACAUGCAAGUCGAGCGGAUGAAGGGAGCUUGCUCCUGGAUUCAGCGGCGGACGGGUGAGUAAUGCCUAGGAAUCUGCCUGGUAGUGGGGGAUAACGUCCGGAAACGGGCGCUAAUACCGCAUACGUCCUGAGGGAGAAAGUGGGGGAUCUUCGGACCUCACGCUAUCAGAUGAGCCUAGGUCGGAUUAGCUAGUUGGUGGGGUAAAGGCCUACCAAGGCGACGAUCCGUAACUGGUCUGAGAGGAUGAUCAGUCACACUGGGACUUGGACACCGUCCCGACUCCUACGGGAGGCAGCCGUUGGGAAUAUUUGACCAUGGGCGAAAGCCUGAUCCAGCCAUGCCGCGUGUGUGAAGAAGGUCUUCGGAUUGUAAAGCACUUUAAGUUGGGAGGAAGGGCAGUAAGUUAAUACCUUGCUGUUUUGACGUUACCAACAGAAUAAGCACCGGCUAACUUCGUG
rnacentral:rRNA from 1 species